rnacentral:miRNA from 1 species
CAGUUGCACUGAGACUUCCAUAA